UCCACACGGAUACUGGUUGGAAUAACAAGCUGGACAACCUCAAAGUUUUAAUGAGUCCAAUUUAGUUCAAGUCAAUGAUACGCCCACCAACGACUACACAGGCCAAGAGACAAACAUUAUUUAUGCUGUCAGUAAUCACAGCUUCGGUCAGCAAUGCUCUCGUUCCAUUUUGAAAAAAUAUGGCAUGACACUACAAGCCAUGUGGGUCCUAAAAACGCACCAUUUAUAUUUAUUGGAGUUGACCGGCAAGUCGACGGCAUAUUGAACGCUUGAGGGUCGCUGACAAAGGAUUAACCGUAAGGACAAGGCCAUCGAAUGCGGCGAGCUGACAAGUUGGCAACAUUCAUACCGUAAGAUGGCUGACAGGGCUGACAAGGACAUGCUUUGGUAAAUUAUAUGAAAAGAAGAAAACUCGUUGGCAUUCGGCUGGCUUCACAAAAUGCCAUUUAAUUUUUCAUGUUGUCCAUUCCAUUUUGUGGCCCUUCGCUCACAGCGUUGAUGCUUGUUUUUCCUCAGUGUUCCUGUUUUUUGUCUUUAAAUGUUAUAAAUGAGAGUUGUGCUCUGCUGCUUUGUUGUGUGGCUUAACCCAGAAAUUAGUUGUCAUUCUGCUAAUAGUCCACUCGCACCUUUUUCAUACAGUUAUAUAAAUGUGUUUUUUGUGUUUAUUACUUUUUAUUAUCAUUGUCAUCGUGUGGUGGAGUGUGACCACUGCGUGAUUAUACGCCCAAAUAAUAUUUAAUACAUUUCCUGGCCAUGCUGUUCCACUGCUUGCCAUUGGGGCAUUUACACUGGCUGGCCGGGAUCAUUAAAAUAAUGACCAACGCCAGCUGAUGCAGCUUCAUAUUUUAGCUUAGUUCUUAGCUGGUUCAGUCCGAAACAUGAGAUGUUCACCAAAAUAACGUUAGCUUUGCCACAGUUCAAAUAUAGAAAUAUAUCGAUUGGUCAGGGCUUGGUAACAUUUCAUUUAACGACGAGCUUCCGACACACAAAAUACCAUGAUAUCUAACUGCAAACUGCAGUCUAGCAUGACAAACUGAUUUGGGCAUAAAAAUGUGUUUAAAU